AGUCGAAAGCCCUGGCUGCAGCGCCUUCUCAUCUUGUUGUAUUUAAGGGGGCUGUCCGCCAAGUGUCUGGGACCCUUGCUUGCUCACCCACAAGCACAUAGCCUGUGAGCCUGUGCCCCUCCUGCGGCCAGGAGGGCAGUGGAUUCUGAGUUUUAAGACAACCAAACAGUAUAGGAAGCAAAAUGAUGUUUUGAAAAAAAAAAACUUUUUAAUCAUGUGUGUUCCUUAGAAGUUCUCACUUUCAUGAAUAAUUUUCCAUAACCUGGAGGGCAUCUCUUUUCCCUCACAAGCCUUUCUAUGUAUGUUCACAUUCACUUAAUCAUUUUUCCAUUUCUUCACCUCCAUGGCUUGCCAAACUAGAUACAUGGGAAUCUUAUCAUUCUUUUCCAUAACCUAAGGAUAUGGAUACUUUCUACUUCCCUCACAUCCUUAAAUUAACCUGCAUGUUGCUAGGAGACCGAGGCAUUGAAAAUGUAGGUUUCGCAAAUAAAGCUAUCAGAAGUGCCUCUCUUGCGACACAUUACUCUUCAUAUCCUUUCUGCCCGGCUCUGUCUCAGUCCCUCUCAUUCAGUUCAGGAUGGCGACAAGCACCCUAAGGCCUCUUCCAUAUUUCAUCACGGUGCCGGGUGCAAAAGAGCACAUGGGUUAUCACGGGAUGAAGAUGAGGCAAUGCCAAAUAUAGUGCUGGGUACAGAGCCUGGAGCAAGGUAUUUCAAGCCUUGUUUUGCAACCGAUAAAAAUGAGACUCAGAGGUGAAUGGCUUCCCAGAGUUUACAAAACUAGUAAAUGGCAGAAUAAAGACCUUCAAUCCAGGUUUCUUGGUUACAAAUGCUGUGCUCUUUCCUCCUGGCCGUGAGUGACUCUCCCUUCUCUGGUUCUCCUCAUGCGAAUCCAAUUAGGCAUCCUGAUUCUGCUCUGUUCUUUCUUUCAUUCAUCCUGAAUGCUUUCCUCAUGCUAAAGUCAUGGGUUGGAGCAGGACACCUCUUCCGUCUACAUCUCUCUCCAGGAAGGGAAGGACUGGACCUUGGAAAAGAAUUCCUUGACUUUGAUGAUUACAAAUGAGACACAAGAGGAGAAUGUAUGCACAGAGCUCCCAAGAAGGAUAGAGGUUCUUCGACGUUUCUCUACAGUGCAGGAGGCUGAAGACAGAUUUUUCUCCUCAUGAAGGAAAAGUUCCCAGUGUUUGGGGCAUGGGGCGGCUUUGGUUAGGCUUCUUUUUUAUUUUUAAGCACAUGGAUUCCUGGUACAGGAUCCUAACCAGUUGAACUGCUAGAAAUUAUUAUAUUCUAUGUACAAGUUCACAGGGGUGAAAAGGAAA